AUACGGAGGGUGCGAGCGUUACUCGGAGUCACUGGGCGUAAAGCGUCCGUAGGCGGUCGGGUAAGUCGGGUGUGAAAGCCCCGGGCUCAACCUGGGCAGUGCACCCGAUACUGCUCGACUCGAGUGCGGGAGAGGAUGGCGGAAUUCCCGGUGUAGCGGUGAAAUGCGUAGAGAUCGGGAGGAACACCAGUGGCGAAGGCGGCCAUCUGGCCCGCAACUGACGCUGAGGGACGAAAGCGUGGGGAGCAAACAGGAUUAGAAACCCUAGUAGUCC
rnacentral:rRNA from 1 species